AGUGAACGCUGGCGGUAGGCCUAACACAUGCAAGUCGAACGGCAGCACAGUAAGAGCUUGCUCUUACGGGUGGCGAGUGGCGGACGGGUGAGGAAUACAUCGGAAUCUACUUUUUCGUGGGGGAUAACGUGGGGAAACUUACGCUAAUACCGCAUACGACCUACGGGUGAAAGCAGGGGAUCUUCGGACCUUGCGCGAUUGAAUGAGCCGAUGUCGGAUUAGCUAGUUGGCGGGGUAAAGGCCCACCAAGGCGACGAUCCGUAGCUGGUCUGAGAGGAUGAUCAGCCACACUGGAACUGAGACACGGUCCAGACUCCUACGGGAGGCAGCAGUGGGGAAUAUUGGACAAUGGGCGCAAGCCUGAUCCAGCCAUACUGCGUGGGUGAAGAAGGCCUUCGGGUUGUAAAGCCCUUUUGUUGGGAAAGAAAAGCAGCAGGUUAAUACCCCGCUGUUCUGACGGUACCCAAAGAAUAAGCACCGGCUAACUUCGUG
rnacentral:rRNA from 1 species